UACGGAGGGUGCAAGCGUUAAUCGGAAUUACAGGGCGUAAAGCGCACGUAGGUGGUUUGCUAAGCCAGCUGUGAAAUCCCCGGGCUCAACCUGGGCACUGCAGUUGGAACUGGCAAGCUAGAGUAGGGUAGAGGGGUGUGGAAUUCCAGGUGUAGCGGUGAAAUGCGUAGAUAUCUGGAGGAACAUCAGUGGCGAAGGCGACACCCUGGACUCAUACUGACACUGAGGUGCGAAAGCGUGGGGAGCAAACAGG
rnacentral:rRNA from 1 species